CCAGACCCAGCUCCUCACCCCGCAAUGAAGCCUGGCACCUGUUCUGCAGGGCCUGGUGCUCCAGUGGAUCCUUGAGGCGUCAGGGUGUUUUGUGGAGGGUCCGCAUCUCUCACCCGCUUCUGCAUCUGUCCCAUGGCCAGGGGCCAGAGAUGAAAAAUCAUCUGCAAAGCGGAAAAAGGAACUAAUUCCAUGGCUGGCGGCGAUGCACCGUGCACGGAGCCACAUAUGUGUGUGUGCGCGCGCGCACUCACGUGCUGGCAGCAGAGCAAGUGGCUCUCAAUCCCUAGCGUGCGUCGGCCAGAACUGUACCCCGAGAAAGGAGCAGAAGGAGCGGGAGCCCCCUUCAGUCCCCGCUGCCGGCCGCAGCACUGGGAGCUCCCUGUCUCUCGUCCGGCCAUCUGCCGCCUCAGCCAGACCCGCAGCCGAGGACAGGGGAGGCUCUGGGUUUCCGUGUGGGCUAUGCUCACAGAUCCAGUUUCCAGACUCCAGACACCGCCCCUCCUCCAGCCCCUUGGAGGGCAGCAGGGAGCGCCAGGGUGGGGUUCCCCGUGACCCUGGAGGUCCCCUGCUACUGAGUGCACAGUGGGGCCCUGGGCCAGGGUGGGGGCUCUGUAGAGAAGGUAUUCUGCUGUCCCAGGAGCUGGUCCUGCCUCUUCCUGUCUGUGUGUCCCUGUGUACCUGUCUGAUGCUGGUGAAUGACUGGCACUGUGACCCUAUCUGACACGCUUGUGGCCGGGGGUCUACUGGGCUCAGAGCUCUAGUUCCCUGUGUGCUGAUUCUGGGGGCAGUUUGCAGAAGGGGCUGCAGUGUGGCUGUGCUGACCAGAUACACAGCUGUGUGCAGACCAGGUGGGGCAGUAGGUGUGGACGCAGGUGCAUUCUGUGCGUGCCUCUCCCCGCAGUCUGCAGACCUUUAGCAGCCAUCACAAUGGGGACCCUGUCCACAGCCUGACCCUGUGGAGCUGAAAUCUAGCAACAGCCAUUUCCCCGGGGGCUUCUGUCUCUGGGGCUGGGGAGAAGCCACUGAAGUCCCAGCUGGGUAGGGGACCCCAGGCUGGGAAUGCAGCAGCCUCCAUGUCCCAGCACUUGUUCAGUCCAGAGAGCUAAGACUGGCCCCAGGGCCUUUUCACCCACCAUUCCUCCCACCCAGGUCCUCUGCAUGGCUCCUGCUCCCACGCACCCUCCAACCAUACCUCUGCAGGGACUUCUACCCAGUGUCCCCUGUUUGGAACCAGCUUCCUGCCCGCCUAGCUUCCCUGGAGGUGCCACUUCCUCACUCGCUGUCACUUCCUAAUGUGUUAUGCCUGUUUGUUUACUGUCUGUCUUCCUGACUCGGAUCCAACUGCUCCAGGAUGUUGUCGAAUUUGGCUGUCAGACAAUCCCAGGUGCCUGAAAGUUCUAGCUAAUGCACAGAUUCAGAGAUCUCACCUGAAUGAAUGUGAGGGGGCUCUCCUAAGGAUUGACAACACACCCCCUGGGACACGCCUUCCACCUGGCCCCCUUGUGAGGAGCAUGGGCUGCUGACCAGGGCCCUGACCAGGCCAGCUACAUCACUGUCCUCCAACACGCGCCUGUGCGGACUUGCAGGUGGCUUCUAGGUGCCCAUGGGUGCCGUCUCCUGGGGCUCAGUCCCAGCCAGGAAGGGAACUCGGGUCUCCCUGCCCCUUUGUCCCUGGGGGAUGGCUCCAGCCUAUCUUGUGGAUAGGAGCCCCACCGUUGCUUAGAGCUGCCCCAGCCCUGGCGACCUGGACAAGCAGACCCCUCUAACAUCGCCCACCUCCCACACCAAAACCAGGGGAAGAUAAAAAUUGAGUAAAUCAAUACGGAGUCUAAAAAUAGCUCUGCCCCUUCCUCAGAGGCUAAAAAUACCUGAGAGUCACUCACCAGGCGAGCCAGGAAGCUGGGGGGCUUCUCUGGAUCCCUCACAUUGGGGACACGGUCUUGCGUGGUACAGGGUGCUCAGUGCAUCCCUGCCCUCCGAUUGUAACCCCUGAAACCGCCUCAGACCUCAGGGAACAUCCCGGGUGGGGGCAGACUCACUCUGUGGAGUGGAGGUGGGCAAACUUCUGCAGCACUAGAUGCUCAUUUUUCUGGGCUGUGUGGCCACUUCAGGGCUGUAUUGUGUUUCUUCUGUUUACAACUAUUUGGGGAGGAGCAGGUGAGAGAGGGUCUCACCAUAUAGUGCAGGCUGACCUUGAACUCGCCAUGUAGCCCAUUUGGCCUCAAACUUGCAUCGAUCCUCCUGCCUCAGCCUCCUGAGUGCUGAGAUUAAAGCCAUGUGCCAUGCCAGGCCUCACAACUCUUUACAAAUGUGAAAAAGCUAGUGUGGUGCUAGGCUUGGGGGUAGACACCUUCAUCCUAGCACCGUGGAAGGCUGAAGCAGGAGUAUCACAAA